GAGUUUGAUCGUGGCUCAGGAUGAACGCUAGCGGCAGGCUUAACACAUGCAAGUCGAGGGGUAGAGUUAGCUUGCUAACUUGAGACCGGCGCACGGGUGCGUAACGCGUAUGCAAUCUACCUUGUACAGGGGGAUAGCCCAGAGAAAUUUGGAUUAAUACCCCAUAGUGUUAUGAUGUGGCAUCACAUUAUAACUAAAGUUCCAACGGUACAAGAUGAGCAUGCGUCCCAUUAGCUAGUUGGUGUGGUAACGGCAUACCAAGGCAACGAUGGGUAGGGGUCCUGAGAGGGAGAUCCCCCACACUGGUACUGAGACACGGACCAGACUCCUACGGGAGGCAGCAGUGAGGAAUAUUGGUCAAUGGGCGCAAGCCUGAACCAGCCAUGCCGCGUGCAGGAUGACGGUCCUAUGGAUUGUAAACUGCUUUUGUACAGGAAGAAACACUCCCCUCGUGAGGGAGCUUGACGGUACUGUAAGAAUAA
rnacentral:rRNA from 1 species